UACAGAGGUCUCAAGCGUUGUUCGGAAUUACUGGGCGUAAAGGGUGCGCAGGCGGCGCGGGCAGUCAGAUGUGUAAUUCAGGGACUCAACCCCUGAACUGCGCUUGAUACUUCCGCGCUCGAGCUUUGGAGAGGAGUCUGGAAUUCUCGGUGUAGCAGUGAAAUGCGUGGAUAUCGAGAAGAACACUUAGGGCGUAGGCAAGACUCUGGACAAAUGCUGACGCUCAUGCACGAAGGCUAGGGUAGCGAACGGG
rnacentral:rRNA from 1 species